CACACGCACACACAUAUACAGCAGUAAAGUCUUCUUCAGUCUUCAUUUUAUAUAGACUACUUAACACUGAGGCAAACUGCCAUGGCUCUGUGACUCUCUGACAUCAAACAGCUCCCAAAUGCCACAAUGCGCCAUCCUCAUAUUUACUAGCUUCUCUUAGAGUAAUUCCUUAUUGUCUCUCUUUUCUCGGUUGACUGGUUCCCUGAGGAUAUAAGGCUCAUAUCAGCGACCUCUUCUUCCAUCCUUCAGAGCAAGUCUAAAAGCAGCUGAUUAUCAUCCUGUUUGUUGGUUCUGAAUUGAGCCAGUCCUAAAGGACCAGGACUUCAUUUUCUGUUGUGAAGAACACAACACAACACAACACACCAGGUCUAGUGCAGUUGUUCCAGAUUCUUCCAAGGAGUCUUCCAUCCCCCGACUCCAAGUCAGAAGGAAACAUGCCCAGGGCUCCGAGCAUCCGGCUGGCAGUGGCCAUAGCCUUCAAGGUGUUAUUAGGGAUGUCUAACCCUAGAAAAAUUGAGGGGCAUUUGACGAGAUAGUAUCCAAACAGCCUGGCUGACAGGAGGCAGCGGAAAACUGAAGACCAGGAGAUUUUUCCAAAAUGGCCCCCUGACAUGCACAUCUAAGGCUGGCCCUGAUUGACAUCAAGUGCAGCAAUUAAACCCACCAGCUGAUGAAGAAUGGAAGCUCCAGUGAGUUGCGAUGCUUCCAGGGCAAUGAUCUGAGAGCCCGGAGAAAAGCAGAACUCUGAGGGGAGCUAUAGGUGACACCCGGCUGCGGCACCUAAGGUGAUCUAGGAUCGAGAGCUUCAGGAGAAAAUGCUUCACUUGGGGCAGAAGGACUGUGAGAAGACAGAUGGCUGGAAGGUUAUAGGUCAUCAAGGACCAACUCCGGUGAUAAACAUUGGAAAUUUCCCCGUCUAUCUCCAUGGAAGGGAAAGAGGAUGAAGAAGCUCCACGGAGCAUGGUGAUUUUUGCACACAGUUGCAUCCUCUGCAGAGCCAAUCUUCAACACCUGUGUUUAACUGAGUCUGAAGGAAACACCAUGACGUAUAUGAACAGAUGACGUUGGGUAGCUAAACAUUCUGCCUUGAUACAAUACACAUUGUCAACAAGCACAAAAUCAAAAUUCAAAUGAGGUGGUCUCUGCUGAGACUGGGAACGUGCUAGAUUUGACCGUGGGAGGAAGAAUCAACACAGGAACAAGACUCUCGGUGGCAGAACAUCUGAUAUGUGCUUUCACCAUCUCUGGCUUUGGUUCUUAGUGGUCAACUGUAGUCUAAAACUUUGAUGGAACACUGUGAAAACAGGAAACAAGCAAAGCCUAAGUUUUCAAACGCACAAUUCUGAGUGGCGUGGUGUCAUCUUUCAUUGUCUUACUUAAUCUCUGCCUGGAUAAAAAUCACCCUCUGUGCAGCGUAUCCACCCAGUAUGCACUACCUACUCAUCAGUUCCUUCAUUGUGUUCUUGUUUAUCAGAUCAAUUAUUAUAGAGUCGUACCUGUGCUCCCUCACCCUUACGUCACUGAAGAGUGAUCAAAAAAUGCAAAAAAGAAUGGUGACACUAGGGAUUCAGGUGUGCCACAGAGAGGCCACCAAAUGCUUCCUUUAAGUGAUUUUGUUAAAAAUAAAAGACAACUCCAACGGACUGCAAAAAAAAAAAAAAAAACCUUUAUUCUGGGACCAUUAGUACCUGAUGUUGGUUCCAAUCUUCAAUCUGUGAAAUUGCGAAUGAGAACAAGAAAUUCAUUCUAAUGUUGCUACUGUUUUAGCCUGAAUGGCCUCACUUAAGAUGAAACAAACAUAGUUUCAAGCACUGAGAGUUCUUGGGCUAUUUCUUACAUGGAAAGGAAGAGGCUAGUGUACAGAAAACUAUUUAUAACAUAAUACAAAAUAAGGGCUUCCCAGUCUAACUCUGCUGCAGAAUAUCUAUUUCCUUGCAAAUAAGACUAGUCCAGCCUCCCUUCAAGAAUGAGUAAUGACCAAUACAGCAGAACUCUCUAGCAGGUCACAGGGUGUAGAAAGACAGGGAAGUUCCCAGGCAUCAGAGAUAGAAGCUAAGGUGAAUGGAAUGUGGUGAUGAGUGAUGGGAAUGGCAGGAUGCUGGCAUGCAGCUCAACCCCGAUGAUCAUGGCCCAUGAAGUUUCUUCUCAUCCACUGUGUCUUUGAACCAUUGAGUAGAGAGAUGGUUCCUUGUGUGGACUGCUUUACUGAGAAGUGGAAUCUUGGUGAUCUUGAUGAUUCUGGCCUAAGAAGACAAGAGCUUGAGUGUGGGUGACCUUGUCUUUACUGAAGGUCCAUAUGAUGGCACAGAUUAGGGAGUAUACCUUCUGAAAGGGAUCCAGGAACAAGCAGGAGUUGUAGGUGAUCCUCAGUCAGCCGUGAGCACCAAAAAUGCAACCUCUGUCCCAGGCUGGUAAGAGAAUGGAUUCUCCCACCAACUCACAGGAACAGGAAGUCAGUCUUUCCUAGCUGAACCUCCUGGUGGGGCCACGACUACAGACAGACUCCUGACUUCUGCAGAACAGAGCCAGGAGACACGCUGUCCUCUAUCCGCCAGCUUCCAAGCUUCAAGACAGAGUUCCAAAGGGACUGCUGCCUUAAGCUACUGAUUUUUCAGGUAUUAAAUCUAAUAUGGUGAGGGAGUUAGAGAGGGGCAAUUCAGCACGCGCUGUUGGGACAGCUUUCCAGCUACUUGGGGUUUGUUAAUAUGACUCUUUAUAAAACGCUUCACUGCAAAAUCAAUUCUGGAGUGAUGAAGAAACUAGACAGAAGAGAUAAACAGCGUUGUCUUCCUCAAGUCCAUCUGCUCUCCUGAGGGAUUCUAGACUGGGCUCCAUCAGGCUGCUCUGGGAACUGGCAGCUGAGGCCAUAGGUGGGACCUGGAGGAGCCCCUUUCUGGUUUGUAGACAGAAGCCUUGAGAGCACUGUCCUGAGAAAGAGGGCAUAGUUCUCAUUGUUGAUAGAACAUACAUCAUGUCCUAGGAUACAGCCUCAGGGCCCUGCCUGACACUGUCCUAUUGAGGCUCUGGAAUUCAGUCUAUGAGUUUUAUUUGUGUUUUUAAAAAACACUUUUUAACAUUUAUUCUUUGGGAAUUUUAUGCAUGUAGUGUAUUAUUGUAUGUUUCCUCUUUCCAACUCUCUCCAGACCCUCUCAACAUGUUAUCCCAUGUUUGUUUGAUAUAAAAUUUUAAUGGGACAGGGAUGUUAAGUCCAUAUUACAUACCUUGUCAAUGUAUAAGUUCUCUGGUUUCAGGAUGAAGUGCCAUUUUGGAGAGUGAAAAUAAGAGAUCAUUUACAUUUCUAUCUUUAAAAAGAAAUUUUAUGUUGUAAUAUUUCCACAGUUGAGAGCCCUUCUAGUAUAUAAUUGCUGUAGAAUUAACAGGUACAGAAAGGAUCUUUAUCGUGUGGGCAAGAGGUAAGUGUGUUCAAGGUUCAUGUUCAAGGGCCACAGGCACGUAAACAUAGAGUGAAAGAUCUCACAUCAAAUUUCUGGGUCAGACUCUUCUGGAUGGCAAACAUAUUGGCGAUUGAUUUUAGGAUUUCUUCUGUGGUUUCUAUCCUUUCUCCGUGUACAUUUUCUACAAUCCUGUGGUAAUGUUAUAAAUGGGAUAUUUGCACACAGAAUAAUAUUUCAGUCAUAAUCACAAAGGCAACAAGAUGAACAGUUUUGCCUCUGUAAUAUUUGUACAUUUCUUCAAGUAUUGAGGAAUUAGAUAAUAAUAUUAAAACAUUG